rnacentral:lncRNA from 1 species
UUUAGAUCUGGACCAACGCGUCCCAUUGUAAUCACUCUUCUUCUUGAAGUCGUUCAUGGAGGAGAUUUGGACUAGUGCUCUGCUAUCAUAGAAGGCCUUCCCUAUAUGUGAGGAGAUAUCUUUAUCUUGCCCUCGACGUCAAAGGCCCUCACGUUGAAGUAAAUUUGGAUUUUCAAUUUUACUUUCUAUUCUUGCAUCUUUUAGGUUAGUUUCUGCUUCUACUGGGGAUUUCUUGUUUUAUUAAUCUUAGGUUCAAUUGACAUUGUCCUANUAGAGGAAAUUGACAGGGUAGUGUAACUCUUUGAAUUUAACCUAUCUGCUUAUUGCCUACAACUUAUUCAAUGAAAUGUCUGAACUACGGUCACUAUUUAAAUAGUUUAUUAUCAUGUUUAUAUAUAUAUGAAUUUCGGUGGAAAAGGCUUUUCCAAAAGACUGGUUAUCUUUCCUUCACUAGUUCAUUUGAUACAUACAGAUUCUCUUAAUAAAUAUCAUAGAAGGUUGGUGAUGGGUCAUGGUCCUGGUUUAUGCGACUGCUUCUCAAACUGUGGUUCUUGUAUCAACUCAUUUUCCCUCUUCCAUUAUCUUUAACCAUAUCAUAUACUUAGUUUAUUUGUUUCAUAAUUAUCAAACAUAUUAAGCUACCUUCAUUUUAUGCUCUUUAGUCUCUUAUCUGCAGGUUGUCUCACUCUUUGUCCAAUAAGUUCUCGAGGCCUUGAAGUUGUGUUACAGAGUACAUGAACAAAAUCACUUCUGUUAAAGCACAAUUUUGGCUCACUCUUUGUGGGAAAAUUGACCUACUCAGGCAAAAAACAUGUAUGCUUUGAAUAUAAAUCACAAAUUUAUGUUGAUGGAGCUAUUAAAAAUUAACAUGAAAUUUAGUUACAUUGCAUCUGACAUAUAUAUAUAUAUGGCUUAGUUAUGGGAUGAUACAUUUCAACUAAUAUCAACAUCACACAGUCUUUUUAUGCUUUUAAAAUUAAAUUGGAGUAGAGCUUUUUCAUAGGUCAAGGUGCUAAGUUUGGAUACCUUGCCUUCAAUUCUUACAUCUUCUCCUUUACUUUACCUUAUGAUUCUAACUUGCUUAUGUUUUAUGAUGCAGGUGCUGCUGGGAAUAAUGAUUAUAAGUCCUCUUGAUUAAGUUUAUUUAAUUUUUCCACUCUGAUUGAUUUGAUUUUGAAUGGUUGUGUGCCUGUGAGAUUUGUGUUACAUGAAACAAGCUCUUGCUUUAUGUGUGGUGGUCACCUAGCUUCUGGGAGAGGGGCUCGUGAGAGGCACAAAAACUAAUUUUCUUUAAAUAUUUUCAAGGACAUUAAAUGUGUUGUAGUUCAUCCCUUUUAUUCAUAAUACUUUUCAUAAUUUUGUCUUUCAUAACUGUUGUUUAUGUUAUAUUCUUAUUUAAUUGGUUAAUCUAUGAUUUGAUAGGCAUUANGGGAGCUCAAAUAGUCCAUGCAUCUGAACCAAGCCAUGGUUAUUUAAGGUACGACUAAACAUACCCUGCAUAAAAAUAUGUUAGCCUU